GAUGAACGCUGGCGGCGUGCCUAAUACAUGCAAGUAGAACGCUGAAGGAGGAGCUUGCUCUUCUGGAUGAGUUGCGAACGGGUGAGUAACGCGUAGGUAACCUGCCUGGUAGCGGGGGAUAACUAUUGGAAACGAUAGCUAAUACCGCAUGACAACAGUUAUUGCAUGAUAACUGUUUAAAAGGGGCAAUUGCUCCACUACCAGAUGGACCUGCGUUGUAUUAGCUAGUUGGUGAGGUAACGGCUCACCAAGGCAACGAUACAUAGCCGACCUGAGAGGGUGAUCGGCCACACUGGGACUGAGACACGGCCCAGACUCCUACGGGAGGCAGCAGUAGGGAAUCUUCGGCAAUGGACGGAAGUCUGACCGAGCAACGCCGCGUGAGUGAAGAAGGUUUUCGGAUCGUAAAGCUCUGUUGUAAGAGAAGAACGAGUGUGAGAGUGGAAAGUUCACACUGUGACGGUAUCUUACCAGAAAGGGACGGCUAACUACGUGCCAGCAGCCGCGGUAAUACGUAGGUCCCGAGCGUUGUCCGGAUUUAUUGGGCGUAAAGCGAGCGCAGGCGGUUAGAUAAGUCUGAAGUUAAAGGCUGUGGCUUAACCAUAGUACGCUUUGGAAACUGUUUAACUUGAGUGCAAGAGGGGAGAGUGGAAUUCCAUGUGUAGCGGUGAAAUGCGUAGAUAUAUGGAAGAACACCGGUGGCGAAAGCGGCUCUCUGGCUUGUAACUGACGCUGAGGCUCGAAAGCGUGGGGAGCAAACAGG
rnacentral:rRNA from 1 species